ensembl:lncRNA
CAGAGCCGAUUUAAGUCCAGUCAGAGCAGAAGAUUUGAAACAAGUCAUGACUCGGCACAAAGAUUUCCUGAUAGCCUAGAAGAAGGAAGACACAAGGAGACAAGUGUUUCAAUGCCACCUGAAGAAGAGCCAUCGGUCUUUGUUAAUCCAGUUUUAAAGAAGGAGGAUGGUUCCAGAAGAUAUAAUAAAAAACAUCAUUGCUUGUAUUGUGGACAGGUAGUUCAGAAAAUGUCCAGACACUUGUCGCGUAGACACAGCGAUGUGGUUGAGGUCGCAAAGGCAUUAAGCUUGCCAAAGAAUUCAAAAGAAAGGCGACGACAGUUGGAUUUUCUCAGAAACAAGGGUAACUUUGAACACAACACUCAAGUUUUGGAGAGUCGCAAAGGCAAACUUAUCCCAUGGAAGCAGCCAAAGAAAAUGACAGAUGGACAAGAAUUCAUGCACUGUGUUUACUGCUAUGGAAUGUUCCGAAAAAGAGCGAUGUGGCGUCAUUUUCAGGUCUGUAAUUUCAAGCCUCAGGGUAAGACAUCUAAACGAGGUAAAACAAGAGUUCAAGCUUUGUGUGCAUUUGCUGAACCUGCUCCAAGUGGAUUUAGCGACGCGUACUGGAAGUUCUUAAGUGGUAUGAAUCAGGAUGAGGUUGCAGUUGCUAUUAAGGAAGACCGCUGCAUUCUUGAGUAUGGUUACAGACAGUUCAGAAAGAAUGAGUAUGUAAUCAGCCAGCACCAAUAUAUUCGACAAAAACUGAGAGAGCUUGGCAGACUGGUACUGGAAGCAAAAAAGUUGACACAUGUGAAGACUAUCAAAGAACUCAUAAAGCCUGAAAAGUACACUCAUGUUGUCUCGGCUGCAAGAUGCCUUGCUGGAUUCAGUGGUGAAACUGGCAAAUAUAAACGUCCGUCUCUAGCUCGCAAAGUUGGACAUGGCUUGCAUGCUUUAGCCAUGUUUAUCAAAUCUGAAGGAUUGAAGAUGAAAGAUCAACAGACUGCCAAAGAUGCUGAGGAAUUUGCACUGCUAUACCAAGAAAGUUGGAAAUUUGACAUUGCAAGUCAAGCGCUAACUCAGCUUAACCAGACCAAGUGGAAUUCUCCUCAGAUUCUACCAUUCACACAGGAUGUCCAAAGACUGCAUUGCUAUUUGUCUGAGAAACAGCAGAAGCAAUUGAAUGCCCUGCAAGAAGAGCCUUCUCCCUUGAACUGGAAGGACCUUGCUAAAGUGACCCUGGCGCAAGUUAUCCUCUUCAACCGACGAAGAGCAGGAGAAGUAUCCCGAAUGUCCUUGUCGGCGUUCAUGUCAAAGGAUACAUCAGAAACGCACGAAGAUGUUAACUUAGCCCUUACAGCACUCGAGCAGAAGCUUUGCAAACAUUUUGUUCGGAUUGCCAUAGUAGGAAAGAGAGGGAGGAAAGUCCCUGUUCUCCUUACCCCGGUCAUGAGAGAAUCGAUCGAUACUCUGACUGAAAAGCGAGAAGAAUGUGGAGUACUGAGUGAAAACGGAUACUUGUUUGCAUUGCCGCUCUCU